rnacentral:lncRNA from 1 species
CUCCUGUCAGCAGUUGCGACUCGGAGAGAGCAGCACAUGCUCUGUAUGCUGGAGAAAAUCCACAGAGCAGCAUUUGCUUGUGCUUAAAAAGCAGCUGUCCCUACACCUCCACUCUGAUGGCAGUGCCACUCUUCACUUGAUAUUCUCCAGCUCCUCAGUGCUGGCGUGGUGAGACUUUGGAGUGUUGGAACUUCCUCCCCACAGUUUUCAGCAGGAGUGUGUAGCAUCAACAGCCUUCUGGAUCAAGAACAUGCUUUAAAAUCUCCUGGUGUCUGUGAGGGCCUCAUUAGCAGCUGGAGGAGCUGGUGUGGCUGGAACACGUGGGCUGCACUGGAAAUCUCAGUUUGUGGAGACAGAGAUGCCAGAGCUGGCCCUUGGAUGAACCUGCUGGAUGUCCAGGUAUGACUUGGGCAGUCAGGAUUUGGGAGUCUUUGCCCAGUGAACCACAACAAACCUGCUGGCAAAGGAGCCACUGACCUGGGGGGUGCCUGAAGGCUCACAGUUCUCAGCCAGAGAAGUGCCUGUGAGGGAAGCUGUGUCUCAUUCAACAGCAUUUAAACCUGAGAAAAGUGGUGGCAGAUAUCCCAUCUGUGGAGCUGUUCAAAGUCAGGUUGGACAGGGCUUGGAGCAACCUGCUCUGGUUGAAGGUGUCCCUGCCCAUGGCAGGAGGGUUGGAGCUAGAAGAUGAUCAUUGAAGUCCUUUCCAACCCAAAUCAGUCUAUGACUCUGAAAUAUUGGCAUUUCCCUUCUCUACACAUUCAGGCUCUUGCAUAGGCUACCACAGCAGCCACCCACACAGCCUCUCCUCACUGUGACUUUCAAAGCUUUUCGAGUUUGGAGAAGAAAACCAAAGCAAAUGUGAUGAAGGUCUGGUUCAUUUUGUGGGGAAUGUUGGUUAUUUCACCUUGCUACUUUGUGUCAUUUAAGGAUGCUUGCACAUUACAAAUUGCUGAAAAAUAGGUUAACUGUAAAAUGGUUUCUAAGAUUAAAGAGAGUAAGGUUUGAAAAUUGAAAACUGAUGUUUAUCUGCAAAAUUUGAACCAAGUGUGCUAAAUAUUUUAGCCCUCCCAAGAUUAUAAAAGAGAUGAUUAGGUGUUCAUAGCAGAAAUGAUCUUACAGAACAUUGCUACUCUAUUUUAUUGUUCUUAAACUACAAAUAAUGAGCCUGCAACAAAUGGGAGGGGAACUGUGAAUGGAAGUUAUGGCAAGAUUCAUUAUUUCUCUGUUUGUUCUUGAGGCUUGAAAGAAAUUACAUGUGUGGGCUAGAAAUACAGCUUCUUCUAUCCUUCUGUCAAGUUUGGUGUGGUAGCAUUUACCUUUUUCAUAUGUGUUUUAUUGGAUCUUGAUACAUUAUGUAGUUCAGAUUAGUAUUUUACCUUUUUAAUUAGCAGGGCUUCACCAUGGC